GUCUCAAAAUCCUGCUCGCAGCAUCCAGGUUUUCCAGCCGUUAACGAGUCACAUCAACGAGGCGACAGUCAUUAGACUUCAUAAACUGGAUGUUCCUGUUGCCAUGGCGCUGGCCCCAGCGUCACUUUAAACAUAUCAUUUUCCUUAAACAACAGCUCAGACGCCUGACAGCUCUUUGACCCUCUGCAGCAGAUAAGCACCCAUCCUCUGAGGGUGGGGGGGGUGGACGUCUGGGUGUCGAAGUGUCAGUCAUCUGACCUCAGGAGGGCGUAGGUUAGGGGGGGGGGUCCCUGAGCUGCUCCAGGUUAACGAGGCAUCAAUGGAGAGUUGAGUUACGACGUUGAAAGAGAAAGUCUCAGCCGCCUGCAGACUUCUGGUUGGUAAUUACAGAACUUUUUAUUGGUUAGUGAGCAAAGAAAAGAGGAAAUUCAGCUUCUACAUAAAAACUAAAGUCUGUGGAAUUUAAUUCUGAAUCCGGAUGGAUUGGCUCCAGCUGCUUCCUUUUGCCUCUGACUCAGAGACCAGAUGGGUCUCGGCGAGGUGACGUGGGAGGGAUGUGAAGGCAAAGAGGACGCCUCCUCGAAAAGCUCGUCUUCUCCUCCCCCCGGUGAAGAACUGAGUGUCCCUCGAAGCCACUUUGUUCUGCAGUGAAGGUCAAACCACAACAGCAGAGGCACAAACACCAGCAGAACGUGUUCAGCCCUUUGAGAAACGGCUCCUCACCAGCCUCAGAGUGGCAGACAGGUCACCUCGGAAAAAUAUAUCAAAAGCAAACGUUGAA